GACGUAGGUGGCGAACGUUAUCCGGAAUCAUUGGGCGUAAAGGGUGCGUAGAUGGCAUGAUAAGUUAUUAGUGGUAAAUCGAGGCUCAACCUCGUGGAAGCUAGUAAUACUGUUUUGCUUGAGUACAGAAGAGGUUAACGGAACUCCAUGUGGAGCGGUAAAAUGCGUAGAUAUAUGGAAGAACACCAAUAACGGCGAAGGCAGUUAACUAUUCUGUUACUGACAUUGAGGCACGAAAGCGUGGGGAGCAAAACGG
rnacentral:rRNA from 1 species